AUGAAUUCUGUCUUCUAAUGUUCAAUCUAUGUGUCAUAUUUUUUUUUAAUAAAUUACUUAGUAGAUUUGAGUAAAAAUUUGAAAUAUGCUCGACAUAUUUGGUGACUCAAUUCCAAAUCUCAAUUGGCUAAUAAGAUUUGUUUGUGUAUGAGCUUAAAAUGACCCUUUGUUCUUAACCAUAUAUAAUUUGAUAUAUUAUGAACUUAACAUGGAAUGUGUUAGAAAUCUGAAAACUAGUGUCUUCAUGUUACUUGGGGUUGUAAGUUUGAACAACAUAUGAGGAACUGGACUCAAGCCUGCUCGCUACUGAAUUUUUUAUUUAACAAUUGAAGUCGAGGUCUAAGUGAUUAUCUGGACAUCAAAAUUGGAAGCAUGAGUAGUACUUUAAUCGUUUGAAA
rnacentral:lncRNA from 1 species